GAUGAACGCUGGCGGCGUGCCUAACACAUGCAAGUCGAACGGAGUCCAGCCUUUAAGACCUUCGGGUCAAAGAGGGGAAGACUGAGUGGCGGACGGGUGAGUAACACGUGGGCAACCUGGCUCAUAGAGGGGGAUAACAGAGAGAAAUUUCUGCUAAUACCGCAUAAGCACACACUGCCGCAUGGCAGAGGGUGAAAAGAGAAUCGCUAUGAGAUGGACCCGCGUCUGAUUAGCCAGUUGGCAGGGUAAGAGCCUACCAGAGCGACGAUCAGUAGCCGAUCUGAGAGGAUGAACGGCCACAUUGGGACUGAGACACGGCCCAAACUCCUACGGGAGGCAGCAGUGGGGGAUAUUGCACAAUGGGGGGAACCCUGAUGCAGCGACGCCGCGUGAGUGAAGAAGUAUUUCGGUAUGUAAAGCUCUAUCAGCAGGGAAGAUAAUGACAGUACCUGAAUAAGAAGCCCCGGCUAACUACGUG
rnacentral:rRNA from 1 species